UAAUAAAAUUCCUAUCUUUCUCUUUUCUAUUCUCUUUUAUCUUCUCUCUCUUUUCUAUUCUCUUUCUCUCUAAUUCUUUCUUUCUUAUUCUCGAGAAGCAGUAACCCUAAUCUAAGGGUUUCUGUGACAAUUUGGCAUGUGGGCUUUGCUUCCAAUCCUUUCUACUGGCGUCACAAGAUUAACCAGAGUGUGGUGGAGGGACCUGAGGCUGUUAGGGUUGCAGAAUUGGAAGAGCAAUUCUGCAAUCUGCAAUCUACUGAACAGAGGCAUGCAGAUGAUCUAAUACAAGGGUUUCCUGCCCUUUUAUAAAAGAUCCAGCUACCAUCAGCUGUUGUAACUGCAAUUGACAGUUAUAACUAUUCUAAUAACAACCUCUAACAACUGCUUAACCAACCUUAACCAAUUCUAUCCCUUCCAACAGAAUUAUUCUCCUAAUUUCCCUUCAAUCCCUUAUCCAAACACCUCAGCAAUCCUAUUCAAUUGCGAACUCUUCAAUACCCCAUAUUUCUCUUCUUUCUCCUUUUAUAUGUGACAAUCGUUUCAGUUCCAAAUUUAGUUGUGAGAAAGAUUCGUUCUCCUUUUUCAAUCCAUCCUCUUCGUGCAGCUGUACGUUGAUAGAUCAGAAAAACAAGAUGGCUGAUUUUGUUACUUGCUUAGCUAAGUGGAAACCAAUUUGAGUUGUGUAAUUUCACAGUUGAAGCUCUCAGCGGAUGGUGACGUUCAGGGGUGCACAUGGUUAAAAGAAGAACACAUGCUGUUUCAAGAUUCAUUAGGAGUCCAGAGACUUGUCAAAUUGCAGUAGUUUGAACUGUAAGUUCUUUUGAAUAUCUUUCAUUAUAAUGACAAGACAGUUCAGAUAAGAUUGUUAAUCAAAUAGGAUAAAAUGAAAUGGAUUUGAUUCAUCUUUCAUUUAGUGAUGAGAAAAAUCAAGGGUAAUUUAGUGAUGAGAAAAAUCAAGGGUAAACUAAGGGCGCACGAGCGAUGGAAAAUCCAUAUCUAGUGAGGAAAAUAUUUGAAUAUCUUUCUUGUUCACAUAACUAUGUGAAGUGUUGGAGGCCAUAAUUCUUCCAAAAUACUGUUUGAUGAAAGCAUUUGCUAGUACUAUAAUUUUAUGGCUAUGGGUAGCAGAAAGUGUUAAUCUGUUAUGGAGCCAGCUACUUCAGAUCAGUAAGGGACUGCAGAUCAGCAAGGGAUUAUUCAGGUUGCACAAGCUCAAAGCAUACUAUUUCAGGGAGUGGCUGAUAGAAGAAAAUGUGCCAAUUCCUCUUCUUCCUCAAUUACAAGUCAGCCCAUUUUCUCUACAUGAUAUAGGUACUAUAGCAACUCUUGGUGAUUCUCCUCCUGUUCUACCAUUGCCUACACUGGUCAUGUUUGUGAGAGAAUUAGAAGAAAGAAGAAAGGAUAGAGAAAAUAAAGAGAGAUCUGGAAAGAAAAAAGAAGAUAUUUAUUCUGUUAUUGAUUAUUGAUUGAUUGCUUACAGGUAUUUCUUCUUUAUUUAUAACAGUUGUAAUGUCUUCUAACAGAAAAUUAUCUCAACAAAAU
rnacentral:misc_RNA from 1 species